AAAACUCCGUCUCAAAAAACAAACAACAACAGAGAAACAAAAGGGCCGGUCGCUCAGCCUAGGACUCUUGGGAGAGGCUAGGAACUCAAUGCACAUGCUAAUGAGUUAUCUGGUAACGACGCUCUAGAACUAGUUUUUUACCAGACGCACAGUGUUCCUACCCUUGUGGUAUCCCCUGAGCACUACUGCUUAGUUUGUCCCAAAUGAAGUAAAAUAAAGCAUUUCUUUAGCACGGACCCAACCUCUCCCGCCUCUUCUUACAGGAAGCCAGGAAACGGCGCGCCCCUAAGAGCGGCCUCCGGCUGUGGGAGAAGAGGAGGGAGCGGGGCGCCCCCGAACCGGUUAAGCCCGUUCGACCCCUACAGAGGGAGCCCGGGUCCCCGGCGACCGGACCCCGAAGCGCGCUACUUGCCUGCCAACACCUUGCUCCGGGGCUCUGGGCGCUGUCUCAACCGCCCCCCGCCCCCUGGAGCUGCGCGGCCAGGAGCCGCCCGCAGUGAGUCAGAGGGAGGGGCCCGGCCGGUCUGAGCUGGCGGGGCGCCCCUAUGGGAGACUGGGGCACCCGAAAGGGUCCUAGAAUUGGGGGUGAGAAGGAAGAUACAGGGGAAGCUAAGGACAAGCUUAUUAUGCUGUAAACUUUGCGAAAGAAUUGCAGUGUUCACUUCCAUUCAAUCGUUAGGCCCCCCGCCUCAAUCGCCCUGUGAAUAGCUACUGUUCUGAGAGCCUACUAUGUGCUUGGUGCGCCCUCACAUCUACCAUCAUUAUUCCUGCUGGAAACAUGAAGUCUUGAGGAGGCUCAGAGAGGAGGAAAACAGGCCAACCAGUGUCUGCACCAGGAGGCCUGGCCUUCUGGAAAUGUGUUGGACAGCGAAGGGUCUACACUUCUGCUUUGGCUCCUGAAUGUGACAUAGCCAACCCAUGAGAGAUGUCAGUUGACAAAGAGCAUGAGGGUCAGGCCAUGGCCUCGUGACACAGUGGAUGAACAUCUGGCUGAAGAAAACCAGGAGAGAGAAGCAUUGGACACUGGCUUCCAGGCUUGGCUGCUUGGGCUCUGGCCAAGGUCUGGGGAUGUCCAGGACAAUCAGCUUUCUGCUUCUGUGUCCGUAAUCUCGGGGUAUGGACUCAUUUCCAGUGCUGAGAAGUUCUGAAAUUGCAAGAUUCUUCCUAGCAAGUUCCUGACCUGUCUUCUAACUACCAUGCCAUGUGCCCCUCUCUGGGCCUCAGUUUCCCAUCUGUGAAUGAAAGCACUAGACUCGAAGGGUCCCUUCUGGCUCCUCUAAUUCCAACCCAGAGGCACAGCUCAGGCUGAGCAGUUGCAUUUCCUCAUCACGGGGGACUGACAGGGAUCUUUUGCAAUGCUUAAUUCCAGCAUCAAAAUUCCCCCAAAUAUUCGUGUUUUUUUUUCUUUUUUUGAGAUGGAGUCUCACUCUCGUCGCCCAAGCUAGAGUGCAAUGGCACAAUCUCAGCU